GCUCGAGUCAUGGAAUGAAGGCACCGCGCAGGCCUGGCACCGGCCUGGCCGGCCAGGCAGGGCUCACACAGCCUUGGGAAAAUGGCUAACAGGGAAAGCGCUUCCUAACGCUUCAGGCUGCAGAGGAUCAUGCCUCAGUAUCACACUGUCCCCAUGCCCACUUCAGACAGAACAGAGGGACCAGAUAGCUCCUGAAUAUUAACAAAUCCACUGGGAGAUUGAUUUACAGGGAAAAAAAGGAAGAAAAGAAAAACAACAGUGAAAUAUAUAGUGCAGUUGAGCAGUCGAGCCAAGUCUCUGGAGUUUGAAAGAUAAGGAAAAAUUCACUGCAGAGCUGUGGGAGGCAAGAAGAGGAUAGUGACCAGCAGCCACAGGUCGUUAUGUCUGAGACAAGCUCAGCUGGAAGAACAUCACUGUCUGCUGCCUAAGUCACUUCUAGACAUUUUGGAAAGAUGGAAACACAAGGGAAUUACUUCACAAAGGCAACAAAGAAAGAGGCAGAUAAACUGAAAUGCAGGUGACCAGAGAGAAUGCAGCUGAAUAAAGCUGGAGCCAGACAUGUCCUGCAAUCCAGGUGUGCUUUCAGCUCAGUUUUCACAGCAAAACUAAACCAUAUAUUCCUCUGCAAUGUACUGCCAUGGUAAUGGAAAGCUGUUCUAAUUUAGAAAUUUCCAAGUUUUUCCGAGAAGUUUAUCAAGUCACUCACAGCUUAAGCUGUAACUGUUUGAUGGCUUUGGUCCUGCUAUCCCUGGCACAGAGCAGCAACAGCUUGUGGAAGAUAUUUCUUCUCCAGUCUUCCUGGAUGAACAAAUUGUCAUGCAUUUCUCUUCUGCUGCCCUGGCACUCUGCUUGGCAGUGAGCACAGCACCUUUACAUGGAUCUGCUCACUCAAAACUUCUCAAAUCAAGGCUGCCCCAGCAGGGUCUGUCUCAUUUUCUCUUUCAAGAGCACACUCAGAAUAUCACAGCUACAUCUGAGCUUCAGCUUUCCAAAAUCACAAUCUGAAAGCAAGAUGUUGACAUUGUUUAAGGAGUUGUCUAUCAGUUAAAAAAAAAGUUGAAAGAAAAUAAGAGUUGUGCCACAAUUAUUCUCCUAGAAGAAGAAUUAAAAGUCUCUCUCAUUUUAGAACACAACUGGUCAAAGCACUACAAAAAAAAAGAAAAAAAAAAAAAAAGAAAAAAAGGAAAAUAAAAAGAAAAAAAGAAAGAAAAUGCAGCAUAAAUGG